rnacentral:rRNA from 1 species
UGCAGUCGACGGCAGCACAGUGGUAGCAAUACCAUGGGUGGCGAGUGGCGGACGGGUGAGUAAUGCAUCGGGACCUACCUGAACGUGGGGGAUAACGUAGGGAAACUUACGCUAAUACCGCAUACGUCCUACGGGAGAAAGCGGGGGACCUUCGGGCCUCGCGCGGUCAGACGGACCGAUGUUCGAUUAGCUAGUUGGUAGGGUAAUGGCCUACCAAGGCGACGAUCGAUAGCUGGUCUGAGAGGAUGAUCAGCCACACUGGAACUGAGACACGGUCCAGACUCCUACGGGAGGCAGCAGUGGGGAAUAUUGGACAAUGGGCGCAAGCCUGAUCCAGCAAUGCCGCGUGUGUGAAGAAGGCCUUCGGGUUGUAAAGCACUUUUAUCGGGAGCGAAAUACCAUCGGUUAAUAACCGGUGGGGCUGACGGUACCCGAGGAAUAAGCACCGGCUAACUUCGUGCCAGCA